rnacentral:rRNA from 1 species
AAUGAACGUUGGCGGCAUGGAUUAGGCAUGCGAGUCGAGCGAGAAGGAAAUCAAAGUUUACUUUGGUUUCCGGAAAGCGGCGAAAGGGAGAGUAACGCGUAGUUAUCUACCCCAAGGCCCGGAAUAGCUGCGGGAAACUGCAGGUAAUGCCGGAUAAUAUCCCCGGAUCAAAGGUGUGAUUCCGCCUUGGGAGGAGACUGCGUUGUACUAGCUUGUUGGUAGGGUAAUGGCCUACCAAGGCUACGAUGCAUAGCGGGCGUGAGAGCGUGGCCCGUCUCACUGGGACUGAAACACUGCCCAGACACCUACGGGUGGCUGCAGUCGAGAAUCUUCGGCAAUGGGCGAAAGCCUGACCGAGCGAUGCCGCGUGCGGGAUGAAGGCCCUCGGGUUGUAAACCGCUGUCGUAGGGGAGAAAGGACCGUUGAAGAGACGGUUUUGAUCUAUCCUAGGAGGAAGUCCGGGCUAAGUUCGUGCCAGCAGCCGCGGUAAGAC